rnacentral:rRNA from 1 species
UACCAACACCCCGAGUGGUCGGGACGAUUAUUGGGCCUAAAGCAUCCGUAGCCGGUCCUACAAGUCUUCCGUUAAAUCCAGCUGCUUAACAGAUGGGCUGCGGAGGAUACUAUAAGACUAGGAGGCAGGAGAGGCAAGCGGUACUCAGUGGGUAGGGGUAAAAUCCGUUGAUCCAUUGAAGAACACCAGUGGCGAAGGCGGCUUGCCAGAAUGCGCUCGACGGUGAGGGAUGAAAGCUGGGGGAGCAAACCGG